UACGUAGGGUGCGAGCGUUAAUCGGAAUUACUGGGCGUAAAGCGUGCGCAGGCGGUUCGUUAAGUCAGAUGUGAAAGCCCCGGGCUCAACCUGGGAACUGCAUUUGAAACUGGCGGGCUUGAGUAUGGCAGAGGGGGGUGGAAUUCCGCGUGUAGCAGUGAAAUGCGUAGAGAUGCGGAGGAACACCGAUGGCGAAGGCAGCCCCCUGGGCCAAUACUGACGCUCAGGCACGAAAGCCAGGGGAGCAAACGGG
rnacentral:rRNA from 1 species